rnacentral:rRNA from 1 species
UACGUAGGGUCCAAGCGUUAUCCGGAAUCACUGGGCGUAAAGCGUGCGUAGGUGGCGUGUUAAGUGUGAUGUUAAAUCGCGGGGCUCAACCCUGUCGGUGCAUCGCAUACUGGCAUGCUAGAGGGAAGCAGAGGCAAGUGGAAUUGGUAGUGUAGCAGUGAAAUGCGUAGAUAUCGGAAGGAACAUCAGUGGCGAAAGCGACUUCCUGGACCAAUACUGACGCUCAUGUGCGAAAGCGUGGGGAGCAAACAGG